GGGUUUCUGACUGGAAUGGUAGUCAGCAGUCCACAAUUUCUUUUUUCAGCUGUCUAAUGAGUGCAGCAGAUUUGAAAAUUGGUGUUAAUCUCUUGCUUUGGGCCUUCACUACAAGCUUUACAAAACUUCUCCAAAGCACAGUCACAGCACAAUUAUGCACCUGCAGCACACCAUUUAUUUAGUGAGGCAUCCCUAUGCCUGUAUGCUUUAAACACUGGAUGAAAAACAUUUUGGUUUGACUGUAAACCUCUGUCAACAAAGAACUUGUAUGCUGCUUAAGUUUUCUCUGGGCAGUUUUUGCUAUGCAAAUGUUAAUUGUCAGGCUCUUUGUUACUUUAGCUACAUAGACAAUUCAAUGCUGUUUCUGGUUUUAUAUGACUGUGAAAAUUGCCUCACAAAAUUUACUAAAGCUUUAGCACAGAAAUCAUCUGCUCUUCAGUAGCUUCACUCUCAUUAUUGCCAUUAGAAAAACGAAGAGAAAACACAGAAGCCUAGCUCAUGAAACAAGCAGGUGAACAGAAAAAAAGCACACAGCAAAAGGUCAUUACAGGAUAUAGAGGCUGAUUUAAUAAGGAGAGAUAACUGUUUUUCUAGCUGAACAAAAAUAAAAAAAGUUACAUGCAAUUGCAGAUCUGCUGCAAAAAUUUAUUUCAACUAUGCAUCUUGGACAGAAAAUAUUCAAAUACAUCCUGAAAACUUCAAGCUGAUUUCAGCACAGUUUCUACAAUACUCCUCAGGUUCUCUCAGAAGAACUGGGCUGACUAUGGAAAUGUUCUGGGAAAACCUGAUCCUCUGUCCAAACAGAUUUCACACAUCAUUUAUUAGCUGCUGGACUUUGCUGUAUGGAGAAGAGCAUGCAGGCAUUGCUGGUCGUCAAAUCAGGCUGCUCCAGCUUGCUGGCCAUGAGGAAUGGCCAUGGCUGGAGCAUGUAUUUGAACUCCCUAUACCUCUGCUCUGCCUACAGAAAACUUUAUCCUAGUUUCUUUUGCUGUCGUACUUGUCAGUGGUGGUUGAUUUUUCCUUUAUCCUUCCUUCACUGUCUUCAGUCCUCUUACCUAUGGGCUUUUUUUUGUUUAUCCUCUUGUUGGAUGGUCCUGUCACCCAGCCUCCAAGGAAAAGUAUUGAUCCAUUUGAAGCUGAAGCAGCUGCCUAGGCAGGAUCUACAGAGGACUGUUCAUGUUUGUUUUGGUACUGUGGUGAAAUGCCCCUACUUUGCAUCUUGUUUUGAGAAAUAGUCAUACUUUGUGGUUUUACCGGGUGGAGAUUUUUAUUUGUGAUUUCUCCUCCAACCUACCAUUGGGAAAUACCCCCUGAAAACACUGCAAGACUACUGGCAAAGCAGGAGGAAAGUUUUACUAAAUUUUCUAAUAUUUUAAGUAUUUGAAAUUGUUGCCACAGCUGCCUCCAUCUGAGUUCUGAGGAAGGUAAGUUUCCUCAAGCAAGCUAACUCUAAUGGGGACCUUACCUGACUGAUGGGUACAGGCUGGGCUGAAAUGGGAUCCUUGACCAUGGGAGGGUAGGGGAGCCCCAUGGGAUUUGACAGGGACAGUGGGUGCCCUCAGGGGCUCAACAUUUUGUAACUGACAGUUUUCUGCACCUUUGGCUUUCAUUUCUGCCAAGAGUCACUUUGCUGACACCCACCUACAUCUGAGCUGAGUUGCUGCUGAAAGGGGCCAGGCUUUCCCACUUGUACUCAUCCAGAGUUGCUAAAAAAGUAGACACAUACUAGCAGGUUAUUGUCUGUAAAUCCCCUUGAAAAUGUAACACAAACAUAGCAAGGAUCUGUCUUCUCUUCUUGAUCCAUACACAUCUGUUUUGCAAAGGGGGUGAGGACUGAGUCAAAUAACUUCACCAUGAAGAGUCAUGCCUGCUUCCAAACUUAGCCGAACUAGGGAGCUAAACGGUUGCUUUACAUUUUAGUUUUUUGGGAGUUUUGUCUACUUGGUGGUGGUGAUAAGCUUCCAAAGAGGUUCACCCAAGUUCAUGGUCUAUAGGACUUGAAAUAAAGGCAUUUCUUAGCAGUGUUAUGACCUUGCCUCUUGAGUAACUCAGCCAUAGCAGACUUUCAUCUGUGGAACACUGAGGACCUUCCUUGAGGCUCUGAUUUAAGUCAUCUCCUGAGGGAUACCUCCUAAAAGCACAGACUUGGUCAGGAGUACAUGGCACUCAUCCAGCUCUCCUGGACCCUGACAUUGUGACUUACUGAUAGUUAUCAAGGUUAUCAGUCAAUUGAGCCAUGCCUGGUACUUCGAAAAACUCUUUAAUGUUAGUUCCUUCAUUCUUGAUGCUUCUUGUUUCUUGCUCUUAUAAAAUUGGGGGUUUUUUUUCCCCUUUUCAGUAUGAACUACCUUUAUUGAAGAGUAUCUUGGGCUUUGAUGUAAUGCACCUUAUAGUACCAUCAAAAGGGUUUUGUAGAAUAAUCUAAAUCACCACUUCUCACAGUAGUUUGGCUUUACUGACUUCAAGGGUUCAGAUGAAGCCUAGGGAUUUCUCAGUGCCAUCCUUCUUCCUCUGGGGAAUACUGACAGUUAUUCUGCAAGGAAGUCAAAUAGAUCAGUUUGCUUAAAUGUUUUGUCUGGGAUCUAAGAUGCUCUGUGUCUAUUUACUUCAUUAACUUACCUUUAUACUGUGGGAGUCCUAAAAAAUUGAGUUUCUCUUUAAAGGGGUCCUGCAAAAACAAUUAAAGUAAUUAUCGCUGUUUGUGUUAAGAGACCUGUUUUCCUUCCCUACAUGGCCCAAAUAAGAGCUUCCUGUGAUCCGAGUUCCAGCCUGGCAUGUUGCAGGAUGGAGUUCUACUGCUUCAACCACAAUUCCUUCUGUCCAACAACAUACUCUAGUAAAAAGCAUUUAAUAUCUUUUCUGAUUUAAUUAGUGAUGCCUCCAAAUGUCUUCUGAUGAGUAUCAACACCAAAGUUGUGGCUUCGCUGAAUGCUGUCUCAAUUUCUGCUGCCACUGAAUGGGAAGACUAUAAAGAAGUUUAAAAUAACUUGAUACGUUUAGUAAUUAUAGUGACAAAUCUCAAUUUUUCAAAUGAUGGAUAUGUGUCAGUCAUCAGUACCCUCAGCAGUCAGUAGGUAAUUAAGUAUCUUCUCAGCUACAAAAAUACAUAGGUUUUCACUGUAAUCCAAAAAGCUUUGAACAGUAUUUAUAGAAAAUGGAAAGCAGAAAAGGAUUGUAAAAUUAAAAAUACGUUUCUCUAUUUAUGUUUGGAAAAAAAAAAACCAAAACAAAUGAAAGAACAUAUGGCUAAUGUUUCAAUCCCAAUUGAUUUGCCAAUCAAGUCGAACUGCUGUCUUUCUAUUAUCAUUUUAAGAUGUGUAAUUUUGAAGUUCAGGAAUCCAAAAUGAUUCAUUUUCUCCGUGUCUCUUUGAACAAUAUAAGUUUUAUAACAAACUAAACCAAAUUACUUAAAACCAGAAAGGGUAUUUCCUGUCUGCACCUUGCAGUUUUCGUGCUUGUAUUAACUCUGUCUGCUCUUUUCCCUUUCUUUGUCAGCCUGCAUCAGUCCUGAAGCAACAUCCUUGGAAGGGUGUGCUGCUGGAUCCAAAGUCUGGAUGUGGUUCAAGAGUCCCAUACAGCAUUCAACUCUUAAAAAUCAUUCAAUGCAGCUGGGGACCUUCCUGCAGCUCUGGCUGGAGUGCUGCUGAUAUACUCUCAGUUUCUGCAGUCUUUGAACUUCUGGUGGCCAACCCUGUUGCCUUUCCAGCCAUGCUGGACAAACUUAAAAUGGUUGGUUGGACAUACUCAGACCAAUUGCAGGAGCCCAGCUGAUCAGCAUGUUCCCAGCAAAUUUGACAUGUCUGAAAGAUGCUGAGAUUUUGGGGCAAAUCUUUUUGGCUGUGUCUCUUUGGUUGCUGAUGGUGUCUGGGCUGUGUAUAGACAUAGGCAUCCUACACCUGGCAUAUGCAAAACUUUCAGUGCCCUUGCUGUAAAAAAAAAGAGUAAGAACAUGGCUAUGGUUGUCCCUUUGGCAAUGAUAAUAAAUGACUGAAAAUAAAAGGUGGGAAAAGCUGGGGUUCACAGACUUUCCCCAGCACCUGGGAUUCUGGAAGGGCAGAGUCUGGCACUGCAGGCAAUGAGCUCAUCACAUAAAAUGUUGUUUUCUCACCGCUUCAAGGUGAACUGGAGAGAAUCUGGGAGGCUUAGCUGUUGACAAUGAGAUGUUUUCAUGUGAUAUUCCGUUUUGAGGAGUCUGGAAAGUCAGUCUGUCCUCAAAUAUCAGAUGUCUCAGGCUCAACUGAGUAUUUUUUAGGGGUUUUGCACAAUCCAAACUCCAAGAUUUACAGAUCAAUCAGGUAUGAGAAUCAUGGCCACUUAAAUUUGAAGCUGGGCACUAAAAAUGCAGUUAUUUUUAUGCAAGCAACUGAAAAAACUCUCACAAUUUUCAACAUUAUAGACUGCUAUUAUGAUAUAUUUCUUCAGAAAAUUAGUAUGACACAUACAAACAGCUUCUUAAUUUCUCAGCACAGCCUUAUCACACUGAAUGGUCUUAAAACCACAUUGCCUUUGUUUUAGUAGAAGUCACUACAGAAAUUACUGUUAGGAAAAAACCUCUAACACAACAAAGCUUGCUGUUCAAACAUCAAUUCAUUUAAAACUUAUAACAAAGAACUAAUGAUUUAUUCAAUCAACUCUGCUUUUCUUUAGUUGUACUUAAAAUCAAAAGACUACACAUGCUCACAGUAGCAUAGCAAGUUGGGGUUACCUUCCUGUUCAAAACUGGGUCAUAUAUCACCUGACUCACUUCUGAAAUCUCAAUAGAGGAAAACUGCAUAAAACCUUACCAGAAGGAAACCAUAUCACAGAUAAACCUAUUCCUAGGACAGGUUUUGUCUUCUCACAUGAGCCUGUGCCUCAGCAGCUGCAGGUGACAUACCACCACCCUACAGUGGUAUUCACUAGCCCACUGCUUUUACAGCUGGUGCAGGCUGAUUGUCAUUGAGAUUUUGCACCUGAGGCAAGUCUGACUUGGCCAUGUAGCUUGUAAGCCCACAGAGGGGUUUAAGGGUGUUAUAUUUAAGAGAAUCACUAAAUUAAAAUCCCACUGCUCAAUUUGUAAAAUCCCCUGUGCCAGCAGGUUUCUAAUUUGUUCAGGCACUUUGGCAGAAAACAUCUUCUGGAAGUAGCUGGCAUGAUUGAAGGAGGGUAUCAGAGCAGACUGUAAAAUGUCACCUGCUACAGCAGGGUGGUCUUUUUCAUAUUUAAAAAUACAUGAAUGUGCCAGUGUGUCUCAUUGCUAUUCUGAUAUGUCCCUAUAUUUGAGUUUCAGCUAUGAAAUGCAAAUGAUGACAACAAUUUUCUGGUUAUUUAAGGGCCAAAGGCCUCGCAGUGAUAUUUCUAAUUGAGACCUGUGCGUGGUCUCAAUGUGUGCCUGAUUCUCUUUGUUGUCAGUGCUAUGCACAGCGUAUGUAAUAUUGCAAAUGGCUUCAUCCUGCACAAGGCUGAACCCUCUCACCUCUCAGUUUCUGCUGAGAGUGAAACAUGGUCCUGCUGUGCCAGAAGAAUUUAGAUUAUAUUCUGUUGGACUAAACUUUAUAUUAUUCUACUUUAGUUGCUUUUAUUUUAAGUGCAGUGGUGUACUUAUACAGCUAUGCAGUCUUAUUUAAAAAAGUAAAAGUAGGCUCCAUUUAAGAGAAUAAACGCUUGGAAUGCUGUCUUUGUUAAUUAAUUGAAGUUCGUUGUGAGGAAUAUUUAGGAUUUAAAUGUCCAAAUAUAAAGUGCUAAUUUAAAGGAUGUUUAAGUGACAGCCACAUAGCACAUAGUGUGUUGUUACAGAUAAGGCAUGAAGGUAGGAUUUGGGCUAUCUGGAUGCCACUGCCUUUUCUUUUAUACUGAAUUACUGCAUGGCUUGGGACCAAUCUGAUCCUCUCAGCAUUUGUUUGUGUUGAUCUUGACUGGGAAUACCACUGUAAUGAAUGAAAUACAUAGUUCUUUGCAAGAAUUGAAAACAGUAUUAUCAUUCAAAGGACAAAACACAAAUAUCCAGGUUUCAGGGUAAAUUGGAAAUUCAGUGCUCCUCUAGCCACACCAUCUGCUCAGGCCUACAGGCAGAGCAGACUGGUGUAGUAUCCAGAGAUAAAACAAUUUGUAGCACAAGGGAAUAAAAGUAUCUCUGCAGUGGACAGAUUAAGCUGCUUUUUUUUUUUGCAUUCUAAUCUGUUAAUCAUGCACAGGGCUUAAGUAUAGCUCAAGGCAGAGCAGACCUUGAAUGAUUUAAUUUUGUGCUAUUUAUUGAACUGGAUUUAAUUUGAAGAUAUGUUGUUACCCACUACUCAGCACUUUUUAAAAAAAAUGAAUGUCCAUAAUGAGAUUUCUGCCAUGAAUCAGGGAUUGUGUGUUUAAAAUGGGUCAUGGGGCUGGUCUUUCCAGGCUCCUGUGACAGCAGCUGCACUUACAACAGUCAUGCAGGUUAACUUUUGCAGGAUUCACUUGAGGGGCAGAUCUGGGGGCACUCCAUUUAAAGCAGCACCUACGACCCUUGUUUUUUUCAUUUUUCAUUUGCUUAAAGCAACUGCAGUCAGCAGAGAAAGCAGAGAAUGAAAAUUAAAAGAGGGAGUAAUGUUUGGAGGUGAGGGGAUGGAGUAGGAAAUCUGAACUAGGCCACUGAAGAUGGAAGUGGUGGUUCUGCCAUCCCAGGAGAGAGUCCACAGAAAUCCCUGAUGAGAAGGGCACAGGCCCCAAUUUCAGAAGCUGCAGAGGGGUAGGAUAUGAGAAUACAUAAAUGUGGUCUAGCAUUUGUAAUGCUUUUUUUGCCUAGCAUUUGUAACUGCUGACAACAUCACAAAAAAUCUGAGAGGGAAAGAAACAACCAAACAUUUACAUAUGCUUUGGGAUGAGAUUGAAAACCAGCUAAAUAAUGGAGACUAUUAAAGUGUGCUGAAAAGAAGUAUUUAUAAAUUUAAAAAAUUCUGCUUUUCUAGUUUCUGGGGGGCUGUGGGCUCCUCCUGCAAUGCUUUUACCAGAAAAGCAUUACUUGAUGAUUUUUUCCCCCUGUGUGUUUGUGUGAGUGACUUUAGAGUUGAGUGCAUCAAAUACCAGAAAAUUCACUGGCCAGGCCUGGAGAUGCUGCACUUGUUCAAGGUAGAGUCAGACAGGAGGCAUUGCAAGAUCUGGGACAAAGUGAUUUCAAAAUGAUUGGUGUCCGCACCAUGUCCUUGCUGAUGUAGUGUGCAGGAGUCCAUGUUUAUGAGAUUUACUCCUAGUUUGCAUCGAUCAUGCUGUGACAUCUGCCGCUGUUCCUUAACUCAUCUCAUACAUGGGACUUGGAGGUGCUGACCAGCAGCAAAGCCUGUCUGCUCCUUCAGGACAGCGAUUGUUGGCAGUUGUGAAUGUGGCACGUUCCUUUGGGUAGGAACAUGAGGAAAUACUUCUGCGAGGAACGUAAAAACUAAGCAGGACUAUACUCAAAUAUUAAAUACACCUGUUAGAUCAUCUGCUUCCUUGCCACAUAAGACAGUUUGCUUCAUUUAGCACAAUAAAAGAUACAGGUGUUACCUUUCAUGAUUACCUGAUUUCAAACUGGAUAGCAAAGUGGGGAAUCAGAUCCCUUGUGAACUGACCAUAUCAGGAAAGGAAGAAAGAGGUUGAAUAUAAAAUUGUCAAUGACAACCUAAUGCAUUCCUUCUUCUCUAUCUGUUUUGGAGUCAGACAAGGAGUAGUUUCAAUAGUCACCAAGAAUUCUGCCAUUUUUUCUUCUUCUCCUUCUCUCCUUAAUUUUCUCUUUGUCAUGAUCCUGGCUUUCUUAACAAAAUUCAUUUGUCUAGUAAAUGUACAUUUUUGAUAUUGUCACUGUACACCCAAGUAUUUUUCUUGGAUUUACUCAUAAAACCCUCAAGGCUGAAAGUGCUGAAAAGAGAAAGGGCACAUAAAGUAAUAUAAACCUUUUCUUUUGAACAGCCAUUAGUCCAAUACAGCUGCCAUGGAAGUCCAAUUGUCCAAGUUACUUGCUAUUACUUAGCAGUGUUUUGGACAAGUGAGAAAGGUUAUUUCUGGUUGGAUUUUUUUUGUUUGAUUUUUUUUUAUUUGUUUGUUUUUGUUUGGUUUGGUUUUUCUUUCCCAAAUUCAUUAAAAGAAUGGAGGAAUUUUAAGGGAUUUUUUGGGGUGGGAAUUAUGGCCAUCACAAGUCAAGAUGCUCCUGGAGGACCUAGACAAUUUCAUUAAAACAAACACCUAAAGAAUACUGAAAUCCAAAUCCUAGGAUGAUUACAAAAUGUAUUACAUUUCCUCUGUAAUGCAAUCAGCCUAUGGGCAGUUGGAUGCUGUAUUUGACAGCAGUCGCAGAGGAGCAUUUUCUUUUCCUCACAUCUCCAUAUUUCUUCACACCCCACCAACCUACUUUAAUCUCAGACUCAUAAAUGGCUUGGAGAUGAUUAUACUUACUCCUCUGAGUUGAUCUAUUUCCAGAAACUAGUGGCAGAAUGAGGCUUUCAGGAAAAUAAGGUGAUCUUUUCCAAGUUAGUUCCUUCUUUGGCCAUCAUAGUCUCCUCAGAAACAUGCCAUUUUUGUUGUUCCCUUUUCCUAUGGCAGUUGCACAUUUAUUUCCUCCAGUCCAAGGCACUUUAUAUUCCUCAGGAGCUUGGACAUCAGUUCAGCGUCCGUUUCUCUGGUUACAAAGGAUAAAAAAAAUAUUAUUUAGUAAUUGAUUAAGUUUCAGAAUAUAAAAAGUUGUUUAUUCUGUUCCCAAGAGUCACAGUUUCAGUUGAUCUCUUUUUAAAAAUGGCUAAUGGCACACAGAUCAAUACCUUAAGAAAAUUAAGGCUGUCAGUAACAAGACAGACACUUCAGUGAGUCUUCUUUUGCUUUUAUGAUAAUCACUUUAUGAGCCUCUGCACACACUCUCUUGUCAAAGUUUGCAUUUUUUCACCCAGAUGAGUAAAUUAAGGGAUAAUAUGUCUGACCCCUCAUGCCCAUCCUGUUUUCACUUCAAAUGCUGGGCAAGACUGGACUUACAGCUAAUUUGAGUGACCUGAGGGGCAGUUGCCUUUGGCUGCUCCAAUUUUACAUGUUGGCACUUGGCCUAAGCUUCACAGAAUGGUUGAGGCUGGAAGGAAACUCUGUAAAUCUUCUGGUCCAACACCACUUAAUCUUCUAACUUGUUUUUGUGCAUCUAUGUAGGAAGCAUUUGCAGCUGAGCUGAUUACCCUGUCUACCCUCCUCAGUCACUGGAGAGAAAGUGGCCAUCUGAAGGUGCUGUUUGUUUGCACAAGUACCAAGUUUUGACUGCAGAGAGAGCCCUAUGCCAAAGCAGACGUCUGCACUGGGAAUGUCAAAUUGCAGCAGAUUUGUCCUCUCUCAUCUUUGUAUUUACCUUUUAAACUCUCCUGACACAGCUCUAUGAACCCUUUGUGUUCAGCUUACUGCUGAACUAGAACAUUUCACCCAUGAAGACUGGGUUGAAUCUGCAUUGCCCUGUCUGAACUAGUUCACAUUUUAUAAAUGUUUUGAAAUUCCAGCUAAGUGAUGAUGGCAGACUUUGGCCAUGCAUCUUCAGAUCUAGUGCUUUCUUACGAGGAGUCCUUAAAGAAAUCAAAAAGGCAUGUCCAUACAUGUCAGAGAGGACAAAUAUAGUCCAAGAAAUCUCUUGGUGGGCAGAGUGGAAAUGGGAUACUAUCACACUUUUGGUAUGUCCAUCCCUACUUACACUCAGGUGUACCUUCAGUAAUUUACUUGCCUCUUUCAGCCAAGUCAUUUUUUUCUGACUCAUGAAAGACAGAGUCCAGUGCUUCUUCCUUCUUCACCACCCUUUAAAAAAGAGCAAUCUGUUUCUAUUUGUAUUACCUUGAAAUAACUUAAUUUGCCAAAUACACUGAGCAAUAUCCCCAUCCCAGAUGUAGCUUGUGCACUUAACCCAAGUAAUUGCAGCCUUCUCUAAGAAUCUGCUCUGUCUUUGCCAAAGAGAGAGCAUAUUUCCUGUUCAUGUGAGGAAGUUUCCAGUAUUUUUAACUAAAAGUGUCCUACUGGGUUCAUACCCUUAGACUGGAGGAGGCAAAAUCCUCUUCCUGCCCCCAGGCAGGCUCUCUCUGACUCCUGCCACACGCAGAGCAGAUUGAAUAUGAGGUGCAUGUCUCGGCCUGUGCAGCGUGAGCUGGGCUUCUGCUGGUUUAUGCUGGAGACCCACCUUCAGCAAAGCAAAGCACUCUCCGUGCUUUUUCCACUCUCUUCUGUAGUUGUAGUAUCAAUUUCCUUGUGUUUUGUAUGCAAUAAUUAAAUUUCAGCAUUUGUUUAAAUGACCAACUUGAACUUUUUUGAUAAGAACUUCUUUCAAGUACCUGAAUAUUUGCCUGCCUUCAGGUAUCAGAUCAUCAUAUUUCAUGGUGUUGAGCUUCCUUAUCUUAGUUCUAGGAUUCUUAGAAGCUGCCCCAAUUUAUUGCCAUCUGCUUUUUGGUCAACAACUUCAUUGCACUGCUGACUGAUUUUCUUGCUCUUUGUUACAGUUUUUCAAUUUUCAUCUCUUCCUCCUUUUUUUUUUUUUUUGCAUUGACAUUUCAUGUUUUAUCUAGCCAGUAUUAAGCUGGCUUCUCUCCUAGUUUGACUUGCUUAGAAGGCAUCUCUUCUUUUAUAGCUUCUCCUUGCACAACUUCCUUCCAGAGGGUAGCAGGAGAGUCUAAUUUAAGCAUGUGUGGCUUAAUGCCUAGGUGCAAUUUAGUGGAUAUUUGUUAUAUUGCUCUCCUUUGAAGUCAGGCCACCUGAACUAUUGCCAGCUUCUGCUGAAAGUAUUUACCAAGCCAGGUGACAGCUGCCAGAUGACCGGAUGAAAAGCAAAAUAAAUUAAGAAACUAGAAAGUAGAUACAGAAAACAAAAAUAAACAAAGCAACCCCAAACUUUAUUGGCUAUCUGUGUUUAAGGAGAUUCCCAAGGUCCUCUUUUUGUUUUGUUCAACCAGGAGCUGCCAGGACAUGUCUGCAGCUGGCUGGAGGCAGGAGCUGAUUACUUUGACAACCUGUGUGCUCUGGCACUAUCCCCUGAGCUACAACCUGCUGUUUACAGCAAAGCUUUUCCAAUGAAUUUUUUUGGCACACUGGUGAUUCAGCUGAAUAUAAACACACUUCUGGAGACAUCCUGUAUCCCACGGUCAUGACACUUCAGUUCUAAACACAGUCGUAAUUUAUGGCUGCCCAAUUUGUGAAACACUGUCUCAGAUAGCAUUAGCUUGUGAUCUGCCACUGUGCUUUGGAGAGUCCAGGCUGGCCACCUGGCCUGCCCUCUGUUAGUAUCAACUUACCAAUAGAUGGGUUAAUUACCUUGUGCAAUUACCUUGUACCUCUUCUGACAAAGAGGCUAACCAGGACCUGAAUUUAUGAGAAUCUAAGCACAUAAAUUUUCUAUAUUGCAGGCCUCAACAGCUACUUAUUUUACGAUGGUUUCAAUGAGAACAAGAAACACAGCUUGUAACUAGCUUUAGACAGUGAGUAAUUACUGUAAGUUGGGGAUUGUUACCACUACAGCUUGCACGGUCCCUUUUUUGCUAACAGGAAGAUGACAAGUUUGAAGGGGCUUGUGAAUUUGAAAGUGAUAAAAUGAGGUGCUCUUCCUUAAAAGGAUUAGAGUUCCAUUUUAGUGUUAUAAAGAAGAACUAAGUCCAAUUAAAUUACCCAGGUGUGCCAGCCUCAGAAGAAAAUUCAUGUAUUUACAACCAGGCAGGGCAGGAAUGACUGGUCUUCAGACAAGUUAAGUACUUGUGGGACCUAUAGGAAUACAAAUUACUAAAGUAUACAUAAUUAUAAGAACAACCUACAACAUACUCUGGAACCCACAACCUUUUUACAGCUUUUCUGCUGUUUGUGGCAGUGAAAAAUAUGUUUCCAAAUUGUUAGGAUAUAUCACAACAAAUGAUGGCAGCUCCAGACAGAUUAAAACCUUUCUCUGAAACCUUGCAGAACUAAACAUUUGCUCCCCCAAAGCCCUUAAUUCUCAGAACUUCUCCACCCAUAAGCAUGCUAGGAUUAUGAGGAUUUUUAUUAUAUAAAAAAUAAUCACAGCUAGGAACUUGCACGAAAAAUAGAAGGAAAAAAAUAGAGAAUAACUUUGACAGAAGCUUAUCCAUAUCUAACUCCUUUCUGUGUUUUCCAGAUGGCAUCCAUAUUAUCACUUGUUAUGGAAGUCAUAUUGAUGAUGUCCUAAAUCUGUCUUUCAAUUGUCUUGCUGUGCUUGAUGCUGAUGUGGGCUUGUCCUAGUUAGAAUUCUUGAUAUUGUAAGAAGAGUAUUCUCUGAGGAUUUCCUCGGAUCAUUUACUUUGGAAUAAAUCAGUCUUUCUUAAUAGACACCCUAGUGGUUUUCCGUUCCGUGUCCCCUCACCGAAAAAGUAUGAAGUCUGCACUGAAAGCAUCUAUUUCUGAGAGAGACAUUCUUAAUUUAUGAAGGUGAUUUGUUGCUUAGACAGUAAUUUCUCAUUGCCUAUCUAGAUAAGUGACUACUUUUUUCUUGCUGUUCCUGUAAUACUAUGCAUUCAGGUGUUCUGGAAUGCAUCUAGCAUAUAUUUUGAUUUCUUUUCUUGAAGAACAAAUUUUUUAUUUGCAUUGAGUAAUAUUUUUGACAGAUCAGGGCAUUCAUAAUAAUUAAGAUAAUCCAAAGAAGUCCAUCUGCUUACUACAGUCACCCUCUUCAUGGCUAGCAGUGUGGAAACAAUACUGCAGUUAGGGUGAGGUGCAUCACACUCCUAAUUCUGGAAAAGUUAGCACUGGCAGGUGCCACGCUCUGUGAGUACAGCCUGUGCCCAAGCUAGUAAGGCCUACUAGCACCCAAACUGCCACACAGAGCUCACUACUUUAGGCAGUAUGGAGACAGUCCGUAAGUGGAAGGGCAUCACGGAAUCGUGCAUGUCAUCUCUACAAAGAAGCACUUCAGUGUUGUAUUUCUGGGCUCCUUACAGCACUGUGCUCCUCAGUGCAGCUGGAGUGUGGUCUAGACACAUCUGGGUGAGUUAUGUGUAGAAACCUAUUUGAACCUGAUGGGUUCCUGUCAUUCACUUGAGGUCAGAGUCAUGGAAAAGUGUCUGCAUUGUCUCUGGACUCUGAUUCCCAGAGCAGUGUAGCUACAUUCCUGUCUGGUACCCAAGCUGGUAAGACAUGCAUGAAACCAACCUGUACAUCCCUGCACCUGCAGAACUCUUCUGUGUCAGACAGUAGAAAGGGGCAAGCACACUGUGGACCUUCCAGCCACUCCUGGUAGCCUGCUUAGUGGCUCUGUACAGAGCUCAGGACAUUUUUAAGAAACUGCUUGUCUCUUCACUUGUUUUGCUUUCAUGAAGCUUGCUUCAGUCUUCUUUCUUCUGCUGCUUCCUGCUAAGCAGUUUUGCUCUUGCUGUUAUUCUGCCAGCUUUAUCAGUAGUUCUCUCAUGUUUUUACAUAUUUUCAUUUUCACAGCUGCUGUUAUGAAACUGAAGCAGCUCUUCAGAUGCUGAAACACUGAGUGUUUCUGUCUUUUAUGCUGAAACAUUGAGUAUUUUUUUCUUUUACUGGUGGGCUACUAAAGAGGUGUCUCUUGCUCCUCUCCAUUUCAGUGAGUUUCCACCGACAUGCCAGUGUUAUGACUACGUUUGGCAGCCAAUGGUGCACGUACAUUUGCCAGUAAUUGUUAGAUUUUCCUCAAGUGUCUUUUUGCAGCACACUCUGGAGAGUUUCAAGGCCUUAUGUAUCUGUAAGUAGAACUCCAUGAACCAACAGUGUAUUCACACAGCAACAUCCGACUUAAUCAUUCACCAUUUUUAUUAGACUCACAGCCAGUCCAAACAUGCCCAAGAGUUUAACAUCAUUGUUAUUUUGCAUUAAAAUUGUUACCUAGGCACUAUAUGUCAUCUCUAAAGACUGCAAGGAACACAUGCUGUAGCAAGCUAUAACAAGAACCUUCACCUUUACUAUUUUUAAAAUAGGUUUUCAAUAUUGUAUGUUUGCUUUUUAUUUUCCUGGUGUAGAAAUAAACUCUAGUAGUUCUUAAACUGCGUGGUUCUCCCUGCAUCAAUUCUGCUUCUGUUUCCAACAGCACUGAGACAGCACUGCCAGAUUUCUGUCACUAAAAUUCUGGAAGUUGAUGACAGUGAUUUUUGAUGUAUAAUUUGCUCAAACUGGGCCACCUGCUAAUAGUAAUUUUAAGGAUAUUAAAAGUUCUCUAUUUUACCAGAA